rnacentral:rRNA from 2 species
UGAGUUUGAUCCUGGCUCAGGACGAACGCUGGCGGCGUGCUUAACACAUGCAAGUCGAACGAUGAAGCCCUUCGGGGUGGAUUAGUGGCGAACGGGUGAGUAACACGUGGGCAAUCUGCCCUUCACUCUGGGACAAGCCCUGGAAACGGGGUCUAAUACCGGAUAACACUCUGUCCCGCAUGGGACGGGGUUAAAAGCUCCGGCGGUGAAGGAUGAGCCCGCGGCCUAUCAGCUUGUUGGUGGGGUGAUGGCCUACCAAGGCGACGACGGGUAGCCGGCCUGAGAGGGCGACCGGCCACACUGGGACUGAGACACGGCCCAGACUCCUACGGGAGGCAGCAGUGGGGAAUAUUGCACAAUGGGCGAAAGCCUGAUGCAGCGACGCCGCGUGAGGGAUGACGGCCUUCGGGUUGUAAACCUCUUUCAGCAGGGAAGAAGCGAGAGUGACGGUACCGCAG